AGGGAGCUACCAUUUGAUUUUUAUGGGGGGGGGGGCUAGGAUGAAAUUUGAAAAAAAUAGGCAGGACAGGAGUUUUGAGUAAAAAAAAAAGGCAGGAUGAGACGCUUGCAAAACAAAAGUCAGGACGACAAUUUAGGUAAAAAAAAGUCAGGAUAAACUAUAAAAAAAAAAAGACAGGACCGAACAGAGUGAAAAAUAAAAAGGCAGGACAGAGAUUACAGCUAAAAAAAAUGCAGGACAAAAUUUUUCAUCCUAGCCCCCCCCCAUAAAAAUCAAAUGGUAGCUCCCU
rnacentral:lncRNA from 1 species